CACGUAGGCGGUAUGGCAAGUCAGGUGUGAAAGCCCUCGGCUCAACCGAGGAAUUGCACCUGAAACUGCCGGACUAGAGUCCGGGAGAGGAGAGUGGAAUUCCCAGUGUAGCGGUGAAAUGCGUAGAUAUUGGGAGGAACACCUGUGGCGAAGGCGGCUCUCUGGACCGGUACUGACGCUGAGGUGCGAAAGCGUGGGGAGCAAACA
rnacentral:rRNA from 1 species